GAGUGAGGGAGUGACUAGUGACAGAGGGAGGUAGUGACUAGUGACAGAGGGAGGUAGUGACUAGUGACAGAGUGAGGGAGGGGGUGACUGUCACUAGUCCCCAUCCCUCUCUCUGUCACUAGUCACUCCCUCCCUAACUCUGUCACUGUGUCACCCGCUCCCUCACUCUGUCACUAGUCACCCCCUCACUCACUCUGUCACUAAUCACCCCCUAUGUCCCUAGUGUCACCCUCUUCCUCACUUC